rnacentral:rRNA from 1 species
AGAGUUUGAUCAUGGCUCAGAUUGAACGCUGGCAGCAGGCCUAACACAUGCAAGUCGAGCGGUAGCACAGAGAGCUUGCUCUCGGGUGACGAGCGGCGGACGGGUGAGUAAUGUCUGGGAAACUGCCUGAUGGAGGGGGAUAACUACUGGAAACGGUAGCUAAUACCGCAUAACGUCGCAAGACCAAAGUGGGGGACCUUCGGGCCUCAUGCCAUCAGAUGUGCCCAGAUGGGAUUAGCUAGUAGGUGGGGUAACGGCUCACCUAGGCGACGAUCCCUAGCUGGUCUGAGAGGAUGACCAGCCACACUGGAACUGAGACACGGUCCAGACUCCUACGGGAGGCAGCAGUGGGGAAUAUUGCACAAUGGGCGCAAGCCUGAUGCAGCCAUGCCGCGUGUGUGAAGAAGGCCUUCGGGUUGUAAAGCACUUUCAGCGGGGAGGAAGGCGUUAAGGUUAAUAACCUUGGCGAUUGACGUUACCCGCAGAAGAAGCACCGGCUAACUCCGUGCCAGCAGCCGCGGUAAUACGGAGGGUGCAAGCGUUAAUCGGAAUUACUGGGCGUAAAGCGCACGCAGGCGGUCUGUCAAGUCGGAUGUGAAAUCCCCGGGCUCAACCUGGGAACUGCAUUCGAAACUGGCAGGCUAGAGUCUUGUAGAGGGGGGUAGAAUUCCAGGUGUAGCGGUGAAAUGCGUAGAGAUCUGGAGGAAUACCGGUGGCGAAGGCGGCCCCCUGGACAAAGACUGACGCUCAGGUGCGAAAGCGUGGGGAGCAAACAGGAUUAGAUACCCUGGUAGUCCACGCCGUAAACGAUGUCGAUUUGGAGGUUGUGCCCUUGAGGCGUGGCUUCCGGAGCUAACGCGUUAAAUCGACCGCCUGGGGAGUACGGCCGCAAGGUUAAAACUCAAAUGAAUUGACGGGGGCCCGCACAAGCGGUGGAGCAUGUGGUUUAAUUCGAUGCAACGCGAAGAACCUUACCUGGUCUUGACAUCCACAGAACUUUCCAGAGAUGGAUUGGUGCCUUCGGGAACUGUGAGACAGGUGCUGCAUGGCUGUCGUCAGCUCGUGUUGUGAAAUGUUGGGUUAAGUCCCGCAACGAGCGCAACCCUUAUCCUUUGUUGCCAGCGGUUAGGCCGGGAACUCAAAGGAGACUGCCAGUGAUAAACUGGAGGAAGGUGGGGAUGACGUCAAGUCAUCAUGGCCCUUACGACCAGGGCUACACACGUGCUACAAUGGCAUAUACAAAGAGAAGCGACCUCGCGAGAGCAAGCGGACCUCAUAAAGUAUGUCGUAGUCCGGAUUGGAGUCUGCAACUCGACUCCAUGAAGUCGGAAUCGCUAGUAAUCGUAGAUCAGAAUGCUACGGUGAAUACGUUCCCGGGCCUUGUACACACCGCCCGUCACACCAUGGGAGUGGGUUGCAAAAGAAGUAGGUAGCUUAACCUUCGGGAGGGCGCUUACCACUUUGUGAUUCAUGACUGGGGUGAAGUCGUAACAAGGUAACCGUAGGGGAACCUGCGGUUGGAUCACCU